AUUGAACGCUGGCGGCAGGCCUAACACAUGCAAGUCGAGCGAGCGGCGGACGGGUGAGUAAUGUCUGGGAAACUGCCUGAUGGAGGGGGAUACCUACUGGAAACGGUAGCUAAUACCGCAUACCAUCAGAAGUGACCAGAUGGGAUGAGCUAGUAGGUGGGGUAAAGGCCUACCUAGGCGACGAUCCCCAGCUGGUCUGAGAGGAUGACCAGCCCAACUGGAACUGGAGCACGGGCCAGACGCCCACGGGAGGCAGCAGUGGGGAAUAUUGCACAAUGGGGGCAAGCCUGAUGCCGCCAUGCGGCGUGUGUGAAGAAGGCCUUCGGGUUGUAAAGCAAUUUCAGCGGGGAGGCGUUACCCGCAGAAGAAGCACCGGCUAACUCCGUGCCAGCAGCCGCGGGAAUAC
rnacentral:rRNA from 1 species